AGGCGCGUAGCUCAGUUGGUUAGAGCACCACCUUGACAUGGUGGGGGUCGUUGGUUCUAAUCCAAUCGCGCCUACCA
rnacentral:tRNA from 1 species